rnacentral:tRNA from 3 species
UCCGAGGUGGUCUAACGGUAAGAUUCGCUCCGUGUGAGCGAGAUACGCGGUUCGAGUCCCGUCCUCGGAC